rnacentral:rRNA from 1 species
CUAACAAGGAUUCCCCUAGUAACUGCGAGUGAAGCGGGAAAAGCUCAAAUUUAAAAUCUGGCGUCCUUUGGGCGUCCGAGUUGUAAUCUGGAGAAGCGUUUUCCGCGUUGGACCGUGUACAAGUCUCCUGGAACGGAGCGUCAUANAGGGUGAGAAUCCCGUCCAUGACACGGACUACCAAUGCUUUGUGAUACGCUCUCGAAGAGUCGAGUUGUUUGGGAAUGCAGCUCAAAAUGGGUGGUAAAUUCCAUCUAAAGCUAAAUAUUGGCGAGAGACCGAUAGCGAACAAGUACCGUGAGGGAAAGAUGAAAAGCACUUUGGAAAGAGAGUUAAACAGUACGUGAAAUUGUUGAAAGGGAAACGCUUGAAGUCAGUCGCGUCUUGCGGAACUCAGCCUUACUUCGGUUUGGUGUACUUUCCGUUUGACGGGUCAACAUCAAUUUUGAUCGGUAGAAAAAGCUUGAGGAAAGGUAGCGUUGUUUCGGCGACGUGUUAUAGUCUUCUUGCGUAUAUAUCGGUUGGGAUUGAGGACCGCAGCACGCCUUUAAUGGCCGGGGGUUCGCCCUACGUAUCGUGCUUAGGAUGUUGGCAUAAUGGCUUUAAGCGACCCGUCUUGAAACACGGACCAAGGAGUCUAACAUGCUUGCGAGUGUUCGGGUGGAAAACCCUUGCGCGUAAUGAAAGUGAAAGUUGGGAACCUCCGCAAGGGGGUGCACCGACGCCCGGCCCUGAAGUUCUCUGACGGUGCUGCGGUAGAGCACGUAUGUUGGGACCCGAAAGAUGGUGAACUAUGCCUGAAUAGGGCGAAGCCAGAGGAAACUCUGGUGGAGGCUCGUAGCGAUUCUGACGUGCAAAUCGAUCGUCAAAUUUGGG